CCUACGGGAGGCAGCAGUGGGGAAUUUUCCGCAAUGGGCGAAAGCCUGACGGAGCAAUACCGCGUGAGGGAUGACGGCCCUUGGGUUGUAAACCUCUUUUAUCAAGGAGGAAGUUCUGACGUGUACUUGAUGAAUAAGCAUCGGCUAACUCCGUGCCAGCAGCCGCGGUAAU
rnacentral:rRNA from 1 species